rnacentral:lncRNA from 1 species
UAUAUGGUGGUGUCGAGGAUCAAAUUUGUGAACUAAGCAUACGAUCUGCAGAGAUCGAUCUGACCGCAUCAGUAUCCACAUAGUGUCCGUAUCACUGUAAGGAAAAAAGAGUGAAGGAAAAAAGAGAGGGGCAUGAAUUUGGAAGGGACGUAAUAGGCCCUUGGCUGUUGAUUAGGGCUAGGUUGAAGAGAAGAGAGGGUCAAAGACUAAACUUGCAAAUGGCCUCUUUGGUACAGAAAUAUUAAUGCCUGGAGAGAGAAAGGAGCACAAACAGGCAUGUGCUUGUUGCUGGUUAGAGGAAAAGUAAACGGAGAAAAGAAAAGAAAAGUUGCACGUGGAUCCAGAAGAGACGUCACACCCGCAUGCCUUAGCUCCUAUUUAGAGGAUUAGGAUUUGAGGAAAAGAAAUGUCAUCCACUUUAAAUGGAGAGAGAAGAUUUGUGCAAACAGAGAACCAAGGGGAGGAAUGCAGUACAGAUGGCAUGUUUUAUUAGGCAACCUUG